CAAGGACCUAUCUGACUUGUUCCUUCAGUUGACUGGCGCCCUCAGUGCAGAUGAUAAAAGGCCAAGGCUCCUCUUUCUCACCUAUAGCCUGUUUCAGAAGCAAAGAAGAGGUUUGUCUCCAGCAAGCAUGAUGGCAAGAUUCCUCAUAUGGAGGCUGCAAGCUUCAUGUUCCUUGCUUGGGUGCUUUGCAAUGUGCUUCCUAAGUGACCACUCAACAUGUUUCAGCAGCCCUGAGGACAGUGGUCUAACCAGGUUACCAGCCCACAGAUAUUCUCCAGAGGAAGACAAAAAGUCUUCAAGGUCAACAAUUACAAGAAAAGGAAGAUAACUCUUCUCUUGAAGACUCCUUCUCUUGAAGACAGAUCCUUCCAAGACUCCACUCUCACUGCAGGCAGAGGAAGUCAUUCCUGCCCCUUGAGACUUUGCACUUCUGCCAUUCUUGUCUGAGAUCUGUCCUCUGCAGACCUAUAGAGGGCUGUUCUCAGUUGUUCUCAGGAGGUCCACUGAGAGUUUGGAGCAGGAAUAUAUGCUUUCAGCCUCUUGCUUUGCAUCCUAAUGUGACCCAGAGUUCAAAUCUUCCAGGAUGCCAUUAGGGUUGUCAACUCUUGCUGUGACAUUCUAUUUACUCAUUUGACCCAUUCUAUUUACUCAUUAUUCACCAAAAUAUCACAAGAACAACUUCUAAGCCACAUAUUAA